UCGUCUCUCUCAUUUUUCACUUCACCAUCUUUAGAGACACCCCCUAGCCCUAGCGCCGCCCUAAUAUUCUCCGGUGGCGACGCCACUUCCAAUCAAUCCCAAAUCAAUACCACAGCACCCCCAUGGUCUCCUCUUCCCCAAUCCAUAACCCGUUUUCCUCGAAUCACCCUAGGAUUCUUUGAAUCUUUAUUCAAAGUUUUGAGCCCUAAAAUCCCAAAACCCCAAAUCGAGAUUUCAAUGAAGGGUUGGGGUCUAGUUGGAUUUUAUUCAUGUGUUCUUGACAAGAACACACGAUUAAAGUUAAACUCGGCCAAAAUUUGAAGGUUUGAAGAUUCUUUUCAAUUUUCUACUGUCCAGGCCAUUUCUUAGGUAUUUUUCUCUAUUUUCUGUUAUUCAAUUUUCAUUUGUAGUUCUCUUCUCAUUUUCUUCUGUUUCUUUCUUUUAUUUUCUUAUGUUUUUUUCCAUUUUUCAUUUCUUCAAAUCAUCCGUGUUUGCAUGUUAGUCUUAGAUUUGUUUAGUUAGCAUAUUUUUUUCUAGUUUUAUUUGUAUGUAGUUUGAUUUUCUGUUUCUACUCUUUCUUUGGGGGCUCAGGGUUUCGUGAGUUUUUGUGAUUCUGCAAGUUUUUGGGUUGUGUGGGUUUGUUUGAGUUCAAUUGAACUUGGACAUUAAAAAUCCAAAAAGGGGAUUCAACCCGGAUUUUGCAAACCCAUAACAAUUUGACCUUGGGUCAAUUUGAUCCAUAUCUGUUUGGUUUCAAGGGUAAAAAACAGAGGGUCUAGGGGUUAAUUAGGAAUUAGGCUAGGGAAUAUAUUUGUAACUAACUGGGGAAGCUUCUAGGAAGGUGGGAUUGGGGCUAACUCUGAAAAACUGAUUUUAAAUUAAGGGUAUAACAACAAAAAUAAAAAUUGAAAAGGGAUUAAAAGGCAAAACUAAAACUCAUUCCUGCUGCCCUAAGACUUGCCUAUAAAAGCAUUGUAACUUGAUUCUCAAGGGAGAGAUUAGAGACUAAAAAUACUGAAAAGGUGAAACCGGCUGAGCUUCAAAAACUCGAAAGAAACACUGAAAUCCCUUCAUUUCCCUUGGUCAAAAUUGGCUAAUUCUACUUCGAAAUUUCCUAGUUAAUCAGAGCAUUCGAGACUCUAUAGACUGGUGUUCAUCUGGGUUCUCCACUGAUUGGAAAGAAGCUGAUUUUGCUGUGUUUGUUUCGCUGAAACUACAAGUUGCUAUCGCUGAUUUCUGUCACUUUUCCUUUUAUUUUGAUCUUUCCAGGUAUUUCCUUGAACUAUUGAGUGUCAAAUGAAGCUAUGAAUGUGUUGGUUGUGUAUGGAAAAUAGCGGGUCUGUUGAAAUGCAAUAAGCUCGCUUAUCUUUGAAGAUCAAUGUUCAUGUGUUCACUUAAGCUACCCAGUUCUUGUUUAUUUCUCCUACUUCCUUCUUGAAUGUCAUGUAGUAGUAGAUGUUUUACUCGUUUCAUGUUGAAAUAUUGAGUUUGUGCAAAACUCUAAAGUGUGGUUCUGAUUCUUUCAUUUCUGAAGUAUUCUAUGUGUAAAUCCUAAACUAUACAUGUUAUUUCAGCUCUUCACUUGUUACUAAUAGGUUGUGGAAAUGAAUCCAUGAUGUUAAGAAUUUUAGUAUGACUUUUGGGAUUCAAGUGAAUAAUAUACUAAUUCUCUGGAUCAUGUUACUGUUGGUAGUGCGAAAGAGCUUAACUGAGUUCAAGUUUCAUAUGUUUAUUUGUGAAAUUAGCUAGAAUUGAAUGUAAGCAUGAACAUCUGGUUGGUUUUGUUAUCAGUGUAAUCGAGGAUAAGAAUGUGUUGUUUUAGUGUAAUGUGAGUUAAUAGCUUGUAAAGCUUCUGUAUUGGUAGGGACUAGACAUUGAGUCUUGUUCUUCCGCCUUGUCUUUUGCAAAGGUUUAAAUUCCUUGGGC
rnacentral:lncRNA from 1 species